rnacentral:lncRNA from 1 species
UAGGGAAAAACCACGGAGAAGGCCAUCCUGUUGAAACAAGAAAAAAAGGAGGCAGGAUAAUUUUUGCCUCUCAUAACAGAGAAAAGAACCUUGUUACUCUAUUAAGAGGACUAUUUAUAUAUACACUGUCAAUCCCUCAUCAGAUGUCUGAUAAAGAUUCUUAUUUAAAUUAAAAUUUGAAAUAGGUUGAUGGAAAAGGAUGGAGAAAUGUGUUAUAAGGUACUGAGAGAUGGCAGACAUACAGGUUAUAUACAACCUCAUUUCUUCAUCUCCAAUAUUAUGCAAAAGCAGUUUGCAAAUACCAUAGUUCAUUCAUAAAUGGUGCCUUUUAGAAAUCAAAAAAAGGUUUUGAAGAAUAUUAAAGAUUUGAUGGCAAAGAACUACCAAAAUGUUUAAUAAAUCCUCAAUAAAAAACCAUUGAAAAGUUUUUCUUCCCUCUGAAAAAUGAAGGAUAAUCCCAGCACUCAGGAGGCUGAGGCAGACCCUACCAAGGUCUCAAGUCGUGCGGAACACGCCAAAUCAGCCCGCUGCAGACAGACACGCCCUACCGAGGUCCCGAGUUGAGUGGAACACACCGAGUCAGCCUGCGCCCUGGCAACAAUCCACUGGACACCCUCCCGCCGCUCCUCUGUACAGCCACCUGGUUCUACACUACAAAGACGCAGAGGACACCGGACCACCAGACCAUGGUACUGAGUCCCGCAGCUCCCGGCCCAGAGGUAGAGGCUUCUGAGCUGCCACCCCACUGUUUCUGGACCAGAGGAAGGGGCUUCCUGGCCACCAUCCCUCCCGCUGCUCCCAGCCCACAGGAAAGGGCUUUUGGGCCACCAUCCCUACCGCUGCUCCUGGCCCCUGUCCCACCUCUCCCAGCUCAGAGGUAAUCCGUGCAGGUGCCAACAGCACACACCCCCCCCCCCCAGUCGAAAUGAGAAAACACAUAAGUAAGUCUCAAAACCAGACUUCCAGAUCACCUACAGCAACCCCAAAGGGAAAUGAGAUGGAACCCUCUGGUACUCAACCACCUGGACCCACUGAACUGGCAACAAAAGGGGAUCUGGAAAAAAUGAAAUCAGAAAUAAUUUCUCAGAUAACAGGAGAAAUUGUGCCCUUAGUGCAAGACAUGACUAAUAAACCUAGAGAGGAGCUGAGGAACAUGAUGGAAUCCCAACAUAAGAAACAAAUGGAAUCCAUAAAACAGAUGCAAAUAGAUUUCCAGGACAUGAAAAACUCCACUGAAAGUCUACACAGCAGAAUGAGCCAGUGUGAGGACAGAAUUUCAGAUAUAGAAGAUAAGAUUGCAAUUAGUGACCAGGAAAAGAAAAAUUGCUUCAAAAUUAUAAGGGAACAUGAGAAAUCAAUCCAGCAGCUGCUAG